GCGACUCCAGGUCAGG
rnacentral:rRNA from 1 species